rnacentral:rRNA from 1 species
GACGAACGCUGGCGGCGUGCUUAACACAUGCAAGUCGAACGAAGUGGCGAACGGGUGAGUCACGAGUAAUCAACCUGCCCUUCAGAGGGAGACAACAGUUGGAAACGACUGCUAAUACCGCAUACCGCAGGCGGGGAUUGCGUCUGAUCAGCUAGUUGGUGGGGGAACGGCCCACCAAGGCGAUGAUCAGUAGCCGGUCUGAGAGGAUGAACGGCCACAUUGGGACUGAGACACGGCCCAGACUCCUACGGUAGGCAGCAGUGGGGAAUCUUCCGCAAUGGACGAAAGUCUGACGGAGCAACGCCGCGUGAGUGAUGACGGCCUUCGGGUUGUAAAGCUCUGUUAUUCGGGACGCGGAACCGAAAUAGAAGGCCACGGCUAACAACGUGCCAGCAGCCGCGGUAAUA